rnacentral:misc_RNA from 1 species
GAUGAAGAACGCAGCGAAAUGCGAUAAGUAAUGUGAAUUGCAGAAUUCAGUGAAUCAUCGAAUCUUUGAACGCACAUUGCGCCCGCCAGUAUUCUGGCGGGCAUGCCUGUUCGAGCGUCAUUUCAACCCUCAAGACCCCUUCGGGGGACUUGGUGUUGGGGACCGGCACAGGGGCCUGCCUGCUUGUCUUGCAGCGCCCUCGCCGCCCCCGAAAUGAAUUGGCGGCCUCGUCGCGGCCUCCCCUGCAUAGUAGCACAAACCUCGCAACGGGAACGUGACGGCGGCCACUGCCGUAAAACAACCCAAUUUUAUUAGAGUUGACCUCGAAUCAGGUAGGAAUACCCGCUGAACUUAAGCAUAUCAAUAAGCGGAGGA